CAACCUAGAAACACCAGAGUGACAGUGAGUCCCUCUGGUCCAGUGACAGAGCACAGUAAUAUGUCACUGAGCUGCAGCAGUGAUGCCAACCCAGCUGUACAGCACUACCACUGGUAUAAAGCUGAUGGAGGAACUCACACUCUGAUCGGAAACUCAUCUGUUUUAAACAUGAAAGCCUCCAGAGAUACUACUGCUAUUUUUUGUGAAGCACAAAAUGAACUUGGAACUGAUAAUUCUACUGUCACUGACUUGGAUGUACAGUUCCCUGCACAGAUCCUGAGCUCCUCAAACUGCCCUGGAGACUCAGCCCGGAUGAGCUGUGUGUGUGAGACUGAGGGGAACCCCUUUCCCCUGAUACAGUGGAGUUUGCCUGAAAUAUCCUCCAACCACUCCAUCAGCAGUGAACCUCUGAGUGACAAAGCUCUAAGAAGUGUCAUCACUGUUAUUAAACCUCAGUGGAGAGAUCCAGUCACUUUGGUCUGUCACAGCAGCAACUCUCUGGGAUCUCAGAAACAAAGGUUUAGUGCUCUUGCUGUCCUCUAUCGACCCUUAAACACCAGAGUGACAGUGAGUCCCUCUGGUCCAGUGACAGAACACAGUAAUAUGUCACUGAGCUGCAGCAGUGAUGCCAACCCAGCUGUACAGCACUACCACUGGUAUAAAGCUGAUGGAGGAACUCACACUCUGAUCGGAAACUCAUCUGUUUUAAACAUGAAAGCCUCCAGAGAUACUACUGCUAUUUUCUGUGAGGCUCAGAAUGAACUUGGGACUGAUAAUUCUACUGUUAUUCAUCUGGAUGUACAAUUCCCUGCACAGAUCCUGAGCUCUUCAAACUGCUCUGGAGACUCAGCCCAGAUGAGCUGUGUGUGUGAGACUGAGGGGAACCCCUUUCCCCUGAUACAGUGGAGUUUGCCUGAAAUAUCCUCCAACCACUCCAUCAGCAGUGAGCCUCUGAGUGACAAAGCUCUACGAAGUGUCAUCACUGUUAUUAAACCUCAGUGGAGAGAUCCAGUCACUUUGGUCUGUCACAGCAGCAACUCUCUGGGAUCUCAGAAAAGGCGACAUUAUACACAUGAAUUUCAACAAGCAGGGACUCUCAGACUUCCCACACCCCAGACACGUCCUCCAGCUCCUCCGGUGGGAGCCAGCCGAAAGACAUAGUCCCUCCAGCAUGUCUUCCCUGGAGCCUCGUCCCGGGGGGACAUGCCCAUAACACUUCCCUAGGGAGGCCUCGAGGGGCCAUUCUGUAGAUGCCCGAGCCACCUCAACUGACUCCACUUGACGUGUAGGAGCAGCGGCUCUACUCUGAGCUCCACCCGUAUGACCAAGCUCCUCACCCAAUCCCUAAGGGUACAUCCAGCUACCCUAUGGAGGAAACCCAUUUUGGCUGCUUGUACUCGAGUUCUUUUCAUUUCAGUGAUUACCCAAAGCUCAUGACCAUAGGUUAGGGUAGAAACGUAGAUAGACUGGUAAAUUGAGAGCUUUGCCUUUCAGCUCAGCUCCUUCUUUACCACACUGUGGUCCAAUACACCGACUACAUCACUGCAGACACCUGUCAAUGUCACACUCCAUCCUUCCCUCACUCGGGAACAAGAUCCUGAGAUUCUUGAACUCCUCCACUUGAGGCAGAGACUCUCCACCCACCCAGAGAGAGCAAGCCACCUUUUUCCGGUCGAGAACCAUGGCCUCGGAUUUGGGGGAGCUGAUUCUCAUCCCAGCCUCUUCACACUUGACUACAAACUGCCCCGAUGCCUGCUGCAGGUCCUGGAUUCAUUAAGUCAUCAGGACAACAUCAUCAGUAAACAACUGAGAUGAGUUCCCGAACCAGACCCCCUCCGGCCCCUGGCUGUGCCUAGAAAUUCUG
ensembl:lncRNA